UUUAAGUGUAAGGCACUGAAACUAUGGCUUUUUUAUUCUCCUCGGCGACAGAGGUCCCAGCGAUAACCUAUUCGAUUGAACCCUUCAUAUUCUCCGAUUUAUUCUCCAUAUUUCAAUUUAAUUGUUCCUUUACUCAUUGGAUGGUCAUCUCCCCUCGACAUUAAAGAGAAAUCCAGUUAUUGAGAGGACUUGGUUUCCCAGCACGUGCGAAAAAUCACUCGCCUGAAACUGAUGACGUCAAAACUGCGUUAGUUGGAUCGUAGAUUAGAACAAAAGAACCAGUAGAUCUUCCGGAUGAAAAGAUGCCAGGUUAUGUAGCAGAAGAGCUAGAAGACUGGUGUCGAGACACUGAAAACGUCCCAGAAUUUCAAACUUUAUAUGAUGAUAAAAUUUUUGCUGAAAUAUUGGAUAAAAAUCAGAACUCCACAGAUGAAGAGGAAGAAGUAGGUGAUGAAGUUCUAGAUAGUGGACCUUCUCAUAUAGAAGCAUGCAAUUCAUUAGAUAUUGCAAUGAAUUGGCUAGAACGUCAAAAUGAUGUUGAUACAGUUCAGUUCAUUUAUUA